AAAUUGAAGAGUUUGAUCAUGGCUCAGAUUGAACGCUGGCGGCAGGCCUAACACAUGCAAGUCGAACGGUAACAGGAAACAGCUUGCUGUUUCGCUGACGAGUGGCGGACGGGUGAGUAAUGUCUGGGAAACUGCCUGAUGGAGGGGGAUAACUACUGGAAACGGUAGCUAAUACCGCAUAACGUCGCAAGACCAAAGAGGGGGACCUUAGGGCCUCUUGCCAUCGGAUGUGCCCAGAUGGGAUUAGCUAGUAGGUGGGGUA
rnacentral:rRNA from 1 species